GUGUCAGCAGCCGCGGUAAGACGUAGGAGGCGAGCGUUGUCCGGAUUCAUUGGGCGUAAAGAGCGCGUAGGCGGUUUGGUAAGUCGGAUGUGAAAGCCCGGAGCUCAACUCCGGAUCUGCAUCCGAAACUGCCCGACUAGAGGUAGGUAGGGGAGAUCGGAAUUCCUGGUGUAGCGGUGAAAUGCGCAGAUAUCAGGAGGAACACCGGUGGCGAAGGCGGAUCUCUGGGCCUUACCUGACGCUCAGGCGCGAAAGCUAGGGGAGCGAACAGGAUUAGAAACCCUAGUAGUCC
rnacentral:rRNA from 1 species